UACGUAGGCAGCGAGCGUUGUUCGGAGUUACUGGGCGUAAAGGGUGUGUAGGCGGUUCUUUAAGUUUGGUGUGAAAUCUCCCGGCUCAACCGGGAGGGUGCGCCGAAUACUGAGGGACUCGAGUGCGGGAGAGGAAAGUGGAAUUCCUGGUGUAGCGGUGAAAUGCGUAGAUAUCAGAAGGAACAUCAGUGGCGAAAGCGGCUUCCUGGUCCAGUACCGACGUCAGGCACGAAAGCGUGGGGAGCAAACAGG
rnacentral:rRNA from 1 species